GACGAACGCUGGCGGCGUGCCUAAUACAUGCAAGUAGAACGCUGAAGGAGGAGCUUGCUUCUCUGGAUGAGUUGCGAACGGGUGAGUAACGCGUAGGUAACCUGCCUGGUAGCGGGGGAUAACUAUUGGAAACGAUAGCUAAUACCGCAUAAUAUUGACUAUUGCAUGAUAGUCAGUUGAAAGGUGCAACUGCACCACUACCAGAUGGACCUGCGUUGUAUUAGCUAGUUGGUGGGGUAACGGCUCACCAAGGCGACGAUACAUAGCCGACCUGAGAGGGUGAUCGGCCACACUGGGACUGAGACACGGCCCAGACUCCUACGGGAGGCAGCAGUAGGGAAUCUUCGGCAAUGGACGGAAGGCUGACCGAGCAACGCCGCGUGAGUGAAGAAGGUUUUCGGAUCGUAAAGCUCUGUUGUAAGGGAAGAACGAGUGUGAGAGUGGAAAGCUCACACUGUGACGGUAUCUUACCAGAAAGGGACGGCUAACUACGUG
rnacentral:rRNA from 1 species